rnacentral:lncRNA from 10 species
CCCAGUCCCAUCGACCACCAAAGGGCUGGGGAGUGCAGGCGCACGGCAUGGGAUUGGCAGGCAGCUCCACCUGCAGCCCCGGUGCAGGAUCCACUGGGUGAAGCCAGCUGGGCUCCCGAGUCUGGUGGGGAUGUGGACAACCUUUAUGUCUAGCUCAGGGAUUGUAAAUACACCAAUCAGCACCCUGUGUCUAGCUCAGGGUCUGUGAAUGCACCAAUCGACACUCUAUAUCUAGCUACUCUGGUGGGACCUUGGAGAACUUUUAUGUCUAGCUCAGGGAUUGUAAAUACACCAAUCAGCACUCUGUAUCUAGCUCAAGGUUUGUAAACACACCAAUCGGCACCCUGUGUUUAGCUCAAGGUUUGUGAGUGCACCAAUCGACACUCAGUAUCUAGCUGCUCUGGUGGGGCCUUGGACAACCUUUAUGUCUAGCUCAGGGAUUGUAAAUACACCAAUCGGCACUCUGUAUCUAGCUCAAGGUUUAUAAACACACCAAUCAGCACCCUGUGUUUAGCUCAGGGUUUGUGAGUGCACCAAUCGAUACUCUGUAUCUAGCUGCUCUGGUGGGGCCUUGGAGAACCUUUGUGUCGAUACUCUGUAUCUAACUAAUCUGAUGGGGACAUGGAGAACCUUUGUAUCUAGCUCAGGGAUUGUAAAUGCACCAAUCAGCACCCUGUCAAAACAGACCACUCGGCUCUACCAAUCAGCAGGAUGUGGGUGGGGCCAGAUAAGAGAAUAAAAGCAGGCUGCCCUAGCCAGCAGUGGCAAGCCACUCGGGUCCCCUUCCACACUGUGGAAGCUUUGUCCUUUCACUCUUUGCAAUAAAUCUUGCUACUGCUCACUCUUUGGGUCCACGCUGCUUUUAUGAGCUGUAACACUCACCGCAAAGAUCUGCAGCUUCACUCCUGAAGCCAGCGAGACCACGAGGCCACCGGGAGGAACGAACAACUCCAGACGCGCUGCCUUAAGAGCUGUAACACUCACUGCGAAGGUCUGCAGCUUUACUCCUGAGCCAGUGAGACCACGAACCCACCAGAAGGAAGAAACUCCGAACAAAUCCGAACAUCAGAAGGAACAGACUCCCGACGCACCACCUUAAGAGCUGUAACACUCACCGCGAGGGUCCGCGGCUUCAUUCUUGAAGUCAGUGAGACCAAGAACCCACCAAUUCCGGACACAUUCUCUUGAUGGAGGAGAAGGCUAAGCUGCUAGGGGAGGGAUAGCAAACCCUGUCACUCCAGGGCACAGAGAAGACCCCUACAGCCGGAGGAAGGGAGGAGUCCAGCUACCGGGGGAGAGGUGGGAAACAUCCUCUGCAUAAUCCCCACUAAAGGUACAAGGCAUUUGGCACAGCUUGGCUGCCCCGGGAAAAAAGCCCUGAUCAGGUGCACUCCUGAGACACGGAAACACUAAGACAAGACAGCAGAGACCCUGCUGCGCCCACUCCCACCAGACUACCAAGCCAACUGACAAGCAAUAGCACUUUUUUUAUUUUGAGACGGAGUUUCUCUCUUGCAGUCCAGGCUGGAGUGCAAUGGCA